AAGGAGCCUGUUGUUCGACGCUCAUUUGUUCAAGCUGAUGGAGUGAAGCUGCUCAUUCCUUUAAUUUCACCAGCAUCUACUCAGCAGUCCAUUCAGCUCCUCUACGAGACAUGUCUAUGCGUUUGGCUUCUGUCUUACUAUGAACCUGCAAUUGAGUAUUUGGCUACUUCUAGGGUCCUACCUCGAUUGAUUGAAGUUGUUAAAGGUUCGACAAAAGAGAAGGUGAGCUAGUUUUGCUGCUGUUUGUUCUGAUAUCUUUUCUAUUUUCUAUUCCUAUGUAUAUUAAAUCUUAAUGAGAUGUUCUCCUUGGAAUGCCAAGAAAGAACUCAGUAAGAAUAACUUUUCUACUUGCUAGCCCCUUGUUAUGUACUCAUGAUUGAUUUCCUUCAUUCAGAACCAUUAUACACUUCUGUUNUACUUUAUAAUCUCUUUGCUCUUUCCAAUUGUGGAGUCUCUCUCUCUUGCAUAAUACAUAAACUGACACUCAAAUUUAGUCGCAACCGGCACGUAAGAACUUCCACUAUGAGUAUGUACAUUUAGACACAUCAACUUAUCUCCACUGUGUUAGUUGAACGCUCGAACUUACAAAAUAAUCAUCUAGACACCUCUAAAUUUAUAUGACACAUCAGCAUUGGGUGUCCAUGAAGUUAACAGGGAUAACUGAGUGUCUAGUUGCAAUUUGAGACCAAGUUGAGGUGUCUGGAUGUGCGCUCUCAUAGUUGAAGUUCUUAUUUGCCAAUUGAGGCCUAGUUUGACUGUCUGUUCAUGUAUUAUGCCCUCUCUUUUUGCUUGGUAUGGUAUUCUUUCUUUAGUCAAGUCACUAAAGGAGGAUAAGAUGGGCGAUGUUGUGGGUUUAUUUUCACUUGUUGCUAGAAGCAUAAAAUUGUAUGACAGUUACUUCUUACUGUGUCCGGUCUGAUUCCUCUGUAUCAUUUCAGCUGAGAAAGCCUUCUCAUCCUAGUUAUAGCAUUCCCUCUGCAAUCAAUUGUAUGUCAACUCUGUUGAAGGAGCCUGUUGUUCGACGCUCAUUUGUUCAAGCUGAUGGAGUGAAGCUGCUCAUUCCUUUAAUUUCACCAGCAUCUACUCAGCAGUCCAUUCAGCUCCUCUACGAGACAUGUCUAUGCGUUUGGCUUCUGUCUUACUAUGAACCUGCAAUUGAGUAUUUGGCUACUUCUAGGGUCCUACCUCGAUUGAUUGAAGUUGUUAAAGGUUCGACAAAAGAGAAGGUG
rnacentral:lncRNA from 1 species